rnacentral:rRNA from 1 species
AUGAGUGGCCUAUGCUGGAACUGUCGUGGGGCGGGCAAACCCGCGAUGGUUCACGAGCUUCGUGAUAUGGCGAAGCAAUUUGUCCCCUCCAUUCUUUGUAUUCUUGAAACUCAAGUAGAGAGAACACGAGUGGAGUGUUUAGCUGGUAGUUUAGGUUUUAAUAAUAGUUUUGUUGUAAGCGGCUCCGGGAGGAGUGGUGGUCUCAAAAUCUUUUGGAAUGAUGAAAUAAAGGUGGAAGUUAAUGGUUACUCUCAAUAUCAUCUUGAUGUUCUAGUCGAUGAUCUUAUGGACACACGAAUACGUUGA